rnacentral:rRNA from 1 species
UACGAAGGGUGCAAACGUUGCUCGGAAUUAUUGGGCGUAAAGCGCACGUAGGCGGCUUUGUAAGUCGGAUGUGAAAUCCCUCGGCUUAACCAAGGAAGUGCAUCCGAAACUACAGAGCUUGAGUACUUAAGGGGAUCGCGGAAUUCCCGGUGUAGAGGUGAAAUUCGUAGAUAUCGGGAGGAACACCAGUGGCGAAGGCGGCGAUCUGGGAAGAUACUGACGCUGAGGUGCGAAAGCGUGGGGAGCAAACAGG